rnacentral:tRNA from 1 species
AUUUAUAUAGUUUAAAUAAAACAUUACAUUUUCAUUGUAAAAAUAAAAAUUCUAAUUUUUAUAAAUA